rnacentral:lncRNA from 1 species
UAUGGGUAAUGUUCUCCUAUUUUGAAACGGGUAGCGGGUAGCUACUACCUGUGCCCGCCCGUGCCCGUUACCAUCCCUAGGUGGGCGGCCAUGACUUCUUGUAAAAUUAUGGAGCGGCUAGCAUUCAGAUGAGUGUAGGUCGUGUAUUUCGGUUUGCAGGGUAUUUUGGGGAGGUCAUCUCUUAAGUGGUCGUGAAAUUUUGGUCGUUUGGUUUCCCGCGAGAGGUUGUGUGUAUGGUACUCGUCGGGUGACCGAGUAGUGUGGGUUUCUUCCAAGUUGAUGAAUUGUUGGGCUUUAGAGUGAAGGUCUUCCAUAAUGAGGUCAUUGUACUUAGGUAGCUCAGUUCUAAAGAAACCAUCUUUGAGACCCAUUACCAGCACGUGUAUGGCCAUGUCAGGACUUAAAGUUCAGACCUUCAUCGCCUCAGCACUGAACCUGUCUAAGUAUGCACGGAUAGACUCAUGCGGACCUUGCCGGAUUCCGGACAAAGUGUAGGACGAUCUUGGUUGCUCCCUACCGGCUGUAAAGUGGACAUCGAAUGUGUUGGCCAAUGUGGAUCAUUGAUCGAUGUUGUUCGACGUUAGCAAAGUGAACCAUUGGAGCACAGUGCGUUUCAAGGUGAGCGGGAAAGCUCGACACAUGGUGGGGUCUGUUGCACAGUAGAAGAGCAUAGAGGCCUCAAAAACAUCAAGGUGAUCUUGAGGAUCUAAGGUACCAUUGUAUUGGUCGAUGUUGGCCGGAUAGGCCAAGUGUUUUGGUAGAGGGUAGGACAUUAUAUCAUUAGUGAAUGGGUGCUUAGCCCCACAAACGUUAUGGUCGGAGAGGUGAGGAAGAUUUAUGGUCUUGGUGUGCAUGGAUGGUUUGUGGAUUGGAUUAGAUUCACCGACAGAUUCGAUCGUACGUGUUUGAGUGUCCAGCGGUGAGGGUCGGUAACUUGAUUCCAGUUUGGAUAGGCGGAGUUCCUCCAGCAAAUCUGUGUGCUGCUGGAUUAUUUUUUCAUACUAUUCCAUGAUUUGCAAGAAUUGAUGGGUGGUGGGCGGAGGUUGUUCUAAAGCAGUGUGGUGGCUUCGGUUGGCUUGUUGUGAGGGUUGCACUUGGGAUUGUGGAUUGACGUAGGGUGUAUGGUGGUUGGGAGACAUGUUUGAGGGUGUUGGUUCUAUUUGGCUAGUAGGGUUUGCUUGAUUUCUGGUUGUCACCAUGGUGUAGUUAAACCACAGACGGCACCAAUGUUCUUUUGUGGAUGAAUAGUGUGAUCAGAUUGGAGGUCCGAGUAUGAGAUCUUGAGUAUCCGGGCAGGAGCUCUUCUGGAAUCUGGUUGAAGGUUGAUUUGGACCCGCCGAUGGAGGUACCUGAAAAGGUUCCCCGACGAUCAAGUCAGUAAGACUGGAGAAAUAAUGCUCAUGAGCAAUUAAUGAGAUAUAGGAAGUAAGUGAAGAAUAAUAAUGACAAGUGAUGAGUUCUAAAUGAUAUUUCAUGUUGGGGAAGACCCCUAUUUAUAGUAGUUGAAAAGGAUGAUGUGGCCAUGGAGGGUAUUGUUGUCGUGGUCGAUCAUCCUGGCUUGUCUGGUCUAAGGAAGAUGACUUUGGGCAAGCUCCUUAGUUGGUUAUAUCCGGUCUUCGUUCGGUUAGAGGGGAGGUCGUCCCAGACACUCAAGACAUC